UGCGCCAAAAUCCAAAAAAAA
rnacentral:piRNA from 1 species